rnacentral:rRNA from 1 species
GAUGAACGCUGGCGGCGUGCCUAAUACAUGCAAGUCGAGCGAACAGACGAGGAGCUUGCUCCUCUGACGUUAGCGGCGGACGGGUGAGUAACACGUGGAUAACCUACCCAUAAGACUGGGAUAACUUCGGGAAGCCGGAGCUAAUACCGGAUAAUAUAUUGAACCGCAUGGUUCAAUAGUGAAAGACGGUUUUGCUGUCACUUAUAGAUGGAUCCGCGCCGCAUUAGCUAGUUGGUAAGGUAACGGCUUACCAAGGCAACGAUGCGUAGCCGACCUGAGAGGGUGAUCGGCCACACUGGAACUGAGACACGGUCCAGACUCCUACGGGAGGCAGCAGUAGGGAAUCUUCCGCAAUGGGCGAAAGCCUGACGGAGCAACGCCGCGUGAGUGAUGAAGGUCUUCGGAUCGUAAAACUCUGUUAUUAGGGAAGAACAAAUGUGUAAGUAACUAUGCACGUCUUGACGGUACCUAAUCAGAAAGCCACGGCUAACUACGUG